ACCAAUUUAUGCAUCCAUUUUGCUUUUUUCUGAUGCAGGUGUUUUUUUUGUUGUUUUUGUUUUUUGCAUCCUCAGCGUCUUUUUCCAUAAAUCUUUCACAAGGCAUGGGUUGCACAAAAAACAAAACAAAAAACACCUGCAUCAGAAACAAGCAAAAAUGGAUGCAUAAAUUGGU